rnacentral:rRNA from 1 species
ACGGCGAGUGAAGCGGCAAGAGCUCAAAUUUGAAAUCUGGCCCCUCCGGGGUCCGAGUUGUAAUUUGCAGAGGAUGCUUCGGGCGCGGUCCCCGUCUAAGUACCCUGGAACGGGUCGUCAUAGAGGGUGAGAAUCCCGUCUGGGACGGGUGGCCGUGUCCGUGUGAAGCUCCUUCGACGAGUCGAGUUGUUUGGGAAUGCAGCUCUAAAUGGGUGGUAAAUUUCAUCUAAAGCUAAAUAUUGGCCGGAGACCGAUAGCGCACAAGUAGAGUGAUCGAAAGAUGAAAAGCACUUUGAAAAGAGAGUUAAACAGCACGUGAAAUUGUUGAAAGGGAAGCGCUUGCGACCAGACUCGCCCGCGGGGGUUCAGCCGGUACUCGUACCGGUGUACUCCCCCGGGGGCGGGCCAGCGUCGGUUUGGGCGGUCGGUCAAAGGCCUCCGGAAUGUGUCGCCCCCCGGGGCGUCUUAUAGCCGGAGGUGCAAUGCGGCCAGCCUGGACCGAGGAACGCG